ACAGACAGCCCGCAGAAGGGCAGCAACGUUUUGGAGCUCCUUUUAGUUCUCUUUAUUGAUAUAUUUUAAUUGAACCCAGAUUUUUUUUUUCCUGUCUAGCCCUUGGAGACAAGCUCUGCCAGAGCUCGUAUAGCAGAGAGAAGGUCUUGAGAUUAGUGAUACUCAGCGUUUCUGACACUGGAGACCUGCAUAAGAAUUUAACAAACUGGGAAGCAGUUUUCAUGACAACCCUUUUCAUUGCAUAGAUGUUACCAAGAGUUUGGGGGUGUUUUUAAGAAAAGCCAUUAGGCUGGAAGUCAGACACACCUGGAUUUGAGAUCCGCUCUGCUACUUCGUACUUGCGUGGUUUUGAGGAAUCAUUUGGCCUCUUUUCAGGUUUUAGAUCCUUCACCUGUAAAAUGAGGAUGGUUGUGAGAAAGGGAAAUUGCUCUGUAAACAGUGAAGCACUAUUCAAAUGCUCAGGCUUUGUAAAAAAUUGAUGGAAAAUGUCAUAAGAAGUGGGCAGUUCUGGUUUGCUUCCAUUGCUAUAGGAAGCUGGCACACACAAGAAAGUUUAUUGACAGCAGCUGAGAUGUGCUGAAGCUGGUAAUUAUCUUCAAGACAGGCUGAGUUUUGAUUAACCUCCCACCGGCAUCCUUAGCCUGAUCUGGCCCCUCCACUGGCCUCUGAGUGUGGAGUGAGACAGAGCUGAAAUGGAGAAGCCGGGCUUGGCUGGAAGCGAGGAGGGUGGAAGUGAAGUCCGUCACCGCUGGUGGGAGUGUCGGCCACAACAGUAUGUCCCCUCCUGCAUAGCUUCCUGAACUGUGACCUUGCCACUCUUCCAUCACGAGGUGGUGUCUGUUUCACCACCUCCUGAAGCUGGGCAGGCCCUGGAAGUGAUGCUGUGCUACUCCCAGGCAGAGCCUUUCAUGGGCCCGGUGGCUUUGCUUUCUGCCUCUUGGAAGCCGGCUACAAUGAAGGAAGUUUGUCUAUAUCCUGAGACCACUAUGCUGUGAGCAGCCCGUGAACCCACCGGAGAGGUCUUGCAGGAGGAAAUGGCCCAUGGAGAGAGAGAGAAGCCAAGGAUCACAAGGCACCAGACCCAGAACUUUUAAUAUUACAGAAUUUUAACAAUUUCUCUGAUUCUAUACUGUAUCUCUCCUAUGCUUAAAGUCUAGAAUCCCAAUGGCAUUCAUUAACAUAAUCACUGAUCUUACAAUAUAUAUACAAUAAAUUUAUAUACGAUAAAUAA
ensembl:lncRNA novel transcript